GAUGAACGCUGGCGGCGUGCCUAAUACAUGCAAGUCGAGCGAACGGACGAGAAGCUUGCUUCUCUGAUGUUAGCGGCGGACGGGUGAGUAACACGUGGAUAACCUACCUAUAAGACUGGGAUAACUUCGGGAAACCGGAGCUAAUACCGGAUGAUAUUUUGAACCGCAUGGUUCAAAAGUGAAAGACGGUCUUGCUGUCACUUAUAGAUGGAUCCGCGCUGCAUUAGCUAGUUGGUAAGGUAACGGCUUACCAAGGCAACGAUGCAUAGCCGACCUGAGAGGGUGAUCGGCCACACUGGAACUGAGACACGGUCCAGACUCCUACGGGAGGCAGCAGUAGGGAAUCUUCCGCAAUGGGCGAAAGCCUGACGGAGCAACGCCGCGUGAGUGAUGAAGGUCUUCGGAUCGUAAAACUCUGUUAUUAGGGAAGAACAUAUGUGUAAGUAACUGUGCACAUCUUGACGGUACCUAAUCAGAAAGCCACGGCUAACUACGUGCCAGCAGCCGCGGUAAUACGUAGGUGGCAAGCGUUAUCCGGAAUUAUUGGGCGUAAAGCGCGCGUAGGCGGUUUUUUAAGUCUGAUGUGAAAGCCCACGGCUCAACCGUGGAGGGUCAUUGGAAACUGGAAAACUUGAGUGCAGAAGAGGAAAGUGGAAUUCCAUGUGUAGCGGUGAAAUGCGCAGAGAUAUGGAGGAACACCAGUGGCGAAGGCGACUUUCUGGUCUGUAACUGACGCUGAUGUGCGAAAGCGUGGGGAUCAAACAGGAUUAGAUACCCUGGUAGUCCACGCCGUAAACGAUGAGUGCUAAGUGUUAGGGGGUUUCCGCCCCUUAGUGCUGCAGCUAACGCAUUAAGCACUCCGCCUGGGGAGUACGACCGCAAGGUUGAAACUCAAAGGAAUUGACGGGGACCCGCACAAGCGGUGGAGCAUGUGGUUUAAUUCGAAGCAACGCGAAGAACCUUACCAAAUCUUGACAUCCUUUGACAACUCUAGAGAUAGAGCCUUCCCCUUCGGGGGACAGAGUGACAGGUGGUGCAUGGUUGUCGUCAGCUCGUGUCGUGAGAUGUUGGGUUAAGUCCCGCAACGAGCGCAACCCUUAAGCUUAGUUGCCAUCAUUAAGUUGGGCACUCUAAGUUGACUGCCGGUGACAAACCGGAGGAAGGUGGGGAUGACGUCAAAUCAUCAUGCCCCUUAUGAUUUGGGCUACACACGUGCUACAAUGGACAAUACAAAGGGCAGCGAAACCGCGAGGUCAAGCAAAUCCCAUAAAGUUGUUCUCAGUUCGGAUUGUAGCCUGCAACUCGACUACAUGAAGCUGGAAUCGCUAGUAAUCGUAGAUCAGCAUGCUACGGUGAAUACGUUCCCGGGUCU
rnacentral:rRNA from 1 species